UCGAGGUAGCGCUGCAUAGCCUUUGAGUCCUGCUAUCGCCUCAUUGCCAACAUUGCGCACAAUGCACUAAAUCAAGCAUGUGAUCAGUGUUGCCACACAUGGGCUUGAUUGGAUUUUGCAACCUUUUUUACACGAAUAUUUUACCGAUGCCUUAGUAAAACGGCGGCCGCAAACAUGUAAAUAUACCUGAUUUCUAAGUACAAACUUAUACCCUUAUUAUUGUCAAUAUACAAUACGUCACGUAACGGUGAAAAGGUGCCAAGUCCAUUUUUGCAAAUUCUUCAGGAGAGACGAAAAAUCGACGUAGUUUCAUAUUACCUGCCAUUCCGCAUCAAACACUUAAGUUUG